GUGUUCAUUGGCAGCUCCCAUACUAAAACUGGACCAAUACAGAGAAGAUUAGCACAAUCCCUGUGCAGGCUGACAUGAAAACUCAUGCAGUGUUCCAUAUUUUA
ensembl:snRNA U6 U6 spliceosomal RNA